CCUACGGGGGGCUGCAGUCGAGAAUCUUCCUCAAUGGACGAAAGUCUGAAGGAGCGACGCCGCGUGCACGAAGAAGCUUUUCGGAGUGUAAAGUGCUUUUAUCAGUGACGAAACAAUGACGGUAACUGAUGAAUAAGGGGCUGCUAACCUCGUGCCAGCAGCAGCGGUAAUACGAGGGCCCCAAGCGUUAUCCGGAUUUAUUGGGCGUAAAGCGUCCGUAGGUGGCUGGUCGCAUCUUCUGUUAAAUCUCUGGGCUCAACCCAGAGCCAGCGGAAGAGAUGGAUCGGCUAGAGACUGGAAGAGGCAAACGGAAUUGCUGGUGUAGGGGUUAAAUCCAUUAAUAUCAGCAAGAACACCAAAUGCGAAGGCAGUUUGCUAGGACAGUUCUGACACUCAGUGGACGAAAGCGUGGGGAGCGAAUGGGCUUAGAUACCCGAGUAGUC
rnacentral:rRNA from 1 species